GUCAGGGUGAUAGAUAGCAUUGAAAUUGAAAUGCCUGUGUGGGUCAAAGUGGGUUGGAAAGUGAGUAUUAGGGUAAGUUCCUGUGGAAGAGGAGGGAGAAUGUCCAAUCACAGUCACCUGGGUAGUAUGAUUUGGUCCUGCGGCUUAGGGUUAGGGUUAGGGUUAGGAGUGCGUUUAGCUUUAGGGUUUCAAUUCAUGUACGUGACGUUUGGAGUGUGGGAAUGGUUGUUAGGUUUAGGGUUCUUCUUUUCGUUAUGGUCAUGUAUGCUGCGGAAGUAGCGGUACUAGAAAAUGACCUAGGGUUCAGCCAGGGUUCGGGCUAGGGUUAGGGUUAGUUUCAGGGUGAUAGAUAUGAUUGAAAUUGAAUUGCCUGUGUCUUCCAAAGCGGGUUGGAAAGUUAGUAUUAGUAAAAUUUCAUGGAGAGGCUGAGGGAAAAUAUAGAAUUUCAAGUACAUGGUUAUUGGGAUUUGGUCCUAUACCUUAGGGUUAGGCUUAGGGCUAGGUGUAGGUUUAUGUUUAGGGUUCCAAUUAAUACACCUGACAUUUCGAGUGUGGCUAGGAUUGUUAGGGUUAGGGUUCUUCUUUUCGUAAGGGUCAUGCAUAGUGUGGAAGUAGCGGUACCUGAAAAUGACUCAGGUUUUGGCUAGGGUUGUGGCUAGGGUUGGGGUUAGGAUCAGGGGGAUACAUAGUAUUGAAAUUGAAUUGCCUGUGUCUUUCAAAGUGGGUUGGAAAAUUAGUAUUAGCCUAACAUCCUGUGGAGGGGGCGGGAUAAUGUCUAAUUGCAAGCACCUGGAUAUUGUGAUUUUUCCUGAGGCUUAGGGUUAGGGUCAGGAUUUAUGUUUAGGUUUAGGGUUCCAGUUCAUGUACCUGACGUUUGGAGUGUGAGUAACAUUGUUAGGGUUAGGAUUCUUCUUUUCGUAAGGGUCAUGGAUAGUGCAGAACUAGCGGUACCAGAAAAUAGCAUAGGGUUCGCCUAAGGUUAGGGUUAGGGUUAGGGUUAGGUUCAGGGUGAUAGAUAGCAUUGAAAUUGAAUUGCCUGUGUCUUCCAAAGCGGGUUGGAAAG
rnacentral:lncRNA from 1 species